GCAGGUAAAACAACCCUCCUGACACCCUGUGGCUACAUACAGAAACCUCCAGUGGAGCUGCUUGGUGGCCAGCAGUACAUGACUACAGUUGUAGUGGGCAGAUCCCAGGCUGACAACAGUAGCUGUAAUCUCCCAACUCCUCCUCCCCCAUCCCCUCCGACUCCUCCAGUAGCUGUAAACCCAGCAACAGAGCCCUAUUUUAGUUUGGUGACCAUCACACAGUGCACAGGAGGGAGCAGGAGAGAAGAGAGUUGCAAACAGUAACUAACUGAUGAAAAAACCAACACCAUCUGUCUUCGGCUGCAGAUUUGUGGUGAUGUGUGUUCAUGUCAUGGGGCUCUGAACCAUCCAGACAACAUUUGUUGUCAUACUUCACUGUGGUUGGCUCAGCUGUUUCAGAGCGAUGAGGGCAGUGAUGUGACUGGCUGAGAGAAUAUUCAAUAAUCAUCACACCCUCUAAUCCAUAUUCACCUUCACUCAGUCCUUUUGCACGUUGCGCUGCUGCACAUACAUGAGUGUAAAUAGCAGGUGCACAUGGUGGAGACGCCCACAUAGUCCGUGUGCCAGACCUACCAUGUACUCACUCACACACUGGUCGUUACGCUAUCACGGUUUAAAUAGGGCCCACAGUGUGUUUGCCAGGUUUGGUAACAUUUUGUGCUUGUACAGCAACCUCUACAAAACAUGUGGUCAUAGAUCAAAUCUAUCAGCCUGCACUGUAGACUGUAUACCAUGCCAAAUUGCUAAAUGCAAUUAGAAUGCUGAAUGCAUAGCCUUCUUUGGAUAAAUA